ACCGAAGUGGCGAAAUUGGUAAACGCGGUUGAUUCAAAAUCAUCUUCCUCAUAAGGAUUAUCGGUUCGAGUCCGAUCUUCGGUA
rnacentral:tRNA from 1 species